rnacentral:sRNA from 1 species
CUUUACCCUACAUGCCUGAGAAGCCAGGGGCCAAGAUGGAUCUUCUCCUCGACAUCAGCUAAGCCUGGAGGACUCUUCCCCUCAGAGACCAUGGAGAGGGACAGCCACGGGAAUGCAUCUCCAGCAAGAACACCUUCAGCUGGAGCAUCUCCAGCCCAGGCGUCUCCAGCCCAGGCAUCUCCAGCUGGGACACCUCCGGGCCGGGCAUCUCCAGCCCAGGCAUCUCCAGCUGGGACACCUCCAGGCCGGGCAUCUCCAGCCCAGGCAUCUCCAGCCCAAGCAUCACCAGCCCAGGCAUCUCCAGCCCGGGCAUCUCCGGCUCUGGCAUCACCUUCCAGGUCCUCAUCCGGCAGGUCAUCAUCCGCCAGGUCAGCCUCCGUGACAACCUCCCCAACCAGAGUGUACCUUGUUAGAGCAACACCAGUGAGGGCUGUACCCGUCCGAUCAUCUCCUGCCAGGUCAGCACCAGCCACCAGGGCCACCAGGGAGAGCUCAGGUACGAGCCUGCCCAAGUUCACCUGGCGGGAGGGCCAGAAGCGGCUACCGUUCAUCGGGUGUGUGCUCCUCCUCAUUGCCCUGGUGGCUUCGCUCAUCAUCCUCUGUGAGUU